rfam:Nematostella vectensis strain CH2 x CH6 NEMVEscaffold_486_Cont28485, whole genome shotgun sequence.
GUUGCGGUUGCCUAGCGGUUAAGGCGUUGGAAUAGAAAUCCAAUGGGAUCUUCCCGCGCAGGUUCGAAUCCUUGUCCGCAACA